UGAGGAAUAUUGGUCAAUGGACGAGAGUCUGAACCAGCCAAGUAGCGUGCAGGACGACGGCCCUAUGGGUUGUAAACUGCUUUUGCAGGGGGGUAAAGUGAGCGACGAGUCGUUCAUUGCAAGUACCCUGCGAAUAAGGAUCGGCUAAUUCCGUGCCAGCAGCCGCGGUAAUACGGAAGAUCCGAGCGUUAUCCGGAAUUAUUGGGUUUAAAGGGAGCGUAGGCGGAUGAUCAAGUCAGUUGUGAAAGUUUGGGGCUCAACCUUGAAAUUGCAGUUGAAACUGGUUAUCUUGAGUGUACAUAACGGUGGUGGAAUUUGUGGUGUAGCGGUGAAAUGCAUAGAUAUCACGAAGAACUCCGAUUGCGAAGGCAGCCACCGGGGGUGCAACUGACGCUGAGGC
rnacentral:rRNA from 1 species